AGCAACUGUGUGCGUUAGGUUAGCACAGA
rnacentral:piRNA from 1 species